rnacentral:rRNA from 1 species
UAUCCAACCUGCCCACCACUUGGGGAUAACCUGCGAAAGUAAGACUAAUACCCAAUGAUAUCCCACGAAGGCAUCCGAAUGGGAUUAAAGAUUUAUCGGUGAUGGAUGGGGAUGCGUCUGAUUAGCUUGUUGCGGGGUAACGGCCCACCAAGGCAACGAUCAUUAGGGGUUCUGAGAGGAAGGUCCCCCCACAUUGGAACUGAGACACGGUCCAAACUCCUACGGGAGGCAGCAGUGAGGAAUAUUGGUCAAUGGGCGAGAGCCUGAACCAGCCAAGUAGCGUGCAGGACGACGGCCCUAUGGGUUGUAAACUGCUUUUAUAAGGGAAUAAAGUGGGUCACGUGUGACUUUUUGCAUGUACCUUAUGAAUAAGGACCGGCUAAUUCCGUG